CUGACACAAAAUAAUUUCAUAUAAAUGUAUUAGGGGCUUACCGUGCAUUAUAAUAAACAAUUUGUGGAGGUCCUCUACCUGCACUUUCUGGCGGCGUAUAAUUCACUCACUCAGGGUCAGAAAAUCUCAGAUAGGACACUGGCGGUUAAUAUUGCCCUAAAACUUAAAGAGGAUUUGGAGCAGUCAGUGAACUAUCAACCAUGCUGAAGUGCGACCUGAAGUUAUUUGCGAAAAUCCUGGCCACUAGAUUGAGACCUUUCUUG